GACAGCCCGUCUGCUAGCUAAACUUCUGCUGCACAAUAAAGGGCUGAACAUUUUAUCAGGGUCCACCACCUUCCUCUUGCAGCCCACCGGACUGUCUUUGCAAGAACCCUUCCAGGAGAGCCCGGGAGAGCACACCGUAGCGUCCUCCGUGGAAGCUCUGUGAUGGCUUUGCCUGGAAAGAGAAGGAAGGAGGAUCUUCCCCCACUUCUGGCCUCGUCUGUGUUUGUAGACCACACCGUGGGAUUUUCCAUUCCAGCUGUCAAUCUUCACUUGUUGUGGUCUGGGGAAAAAAGGAAAAGUUCGGGAGCCAGGAGCAGUGAGCACAACCAGAGCCAACUCUACCCUAGUGCUCGCGGGCCUUCAGAGCACAUACUUCCUGCUGCCUCCUCUCGUGCACCUCUACCAUCAAUCAAGCUAGAAAGCCUUUCCUGGACCUCAUUUGCUUCCUUGUCUGUGGCUGCCAGUUAUUGGAAGUCAAGAAAGGGAACAGCCCUGGAAGGGGACUCGUGCCUGGACCUCUGAUAUCAAGCCUCCCUGGAGUUUCCAUCCUCAGCUCCUCAGACCUGGUCAUGGCAGAGUUCCUGCAAGACGAGACGCACAAACUGGCUGAGCCUGCCAGGAAUUAACCCAUCGGGAGAGGAAAAGAAUUAAAAUUGGUAUCAUGACUGUGUUUAAGUAUUUGGCUGUACACUGUCAUGCAUGCACAUUCUAAAACACACGUUCCAUUAAGAUAAUAAAAAAGACCAGAAAUGUGUAAAAUAGAAAAUAAAACCAAAAAA